GAUAAAUAUUAAUGGUGCGCAGAGGUGAGGUAGGAAACAUGGUAUGGUGACUGUUGGAGCCAGAGACAAAGGGCAGACGAUGGCAUCUGUGGGCCGAGGGACAGCAGUAAACUAUGGUGGCAAUAGAGAAUCUGAGGUGAUGAGGCAAAGUGUGAGGUCAGACAUUUGAGCUGAGGAAGCAGUGCUGUCCACUGAGUUCCUCUUCUCAGGAUGAAGGUAAUGUGGGAAGAUGGAGGGCUGACAGGAGAUGCUUGUAGAUGAUUCCCAGGGAGGCGUCUCUGAGAAACACUUGCAACCACUUGCCCAAAGGGUUUGCAAGGAUGCUUGAACCAGUUUCGUACAGAACAGAAUGCACCAAGCUGGGAGAUGACUGAGGCCUGGAUGUCCCUUGUGAUUCUCAGAGAGCAGUGAGGUGAGGCCUCUGUGACCUCACAGGGUAAAGCCCCGCCCUGGUAACAGCAGACUUCUUAGCCUGAGGACAACUCAGAGUCCAGCAAGGAGGGCUGGGAUUCACAGGGAGCUCAUGUGUCUGUCCAUGUUUGGGUUGUUUUCUGGAAUGGGCGCUACCUGAAAUUCAUCACGUCCACAUCCACAUGUGGGAAAGUACAUGAAAGUGAUGUGGGCCUGAGCAUAUCACUAAAACAUGAAGAGACCUGGGCCCAAAGAAGAAGAAAUAUGGGCCUGGCCUAAUCCCUGACCUGGAAGAGGCCUGGGCCCAAGGAAAUUAUGUUGGCCUGGGCCUAUCCCAAAUCUUUGAAGAGACCUGGGCCCAGAGAAGAAAUGUGGCUGGGCCAAUCCCUGACCCUUGAAGAGGCCUGGGCCCAAAGAAGUAGUGAAGUGGGCCUGGGCCUAUCCCUAGUCCUUGAAGAGGCCUGGGCCCAUAGAAGAAGAAAUAUGGGCGUGAGCCAAUCCCUAUCCUGAAGAGGACUGGGCACAAGAUAUGUGGGUCUGGGCCAAUCCCUCAUCCUCAAGAGACCUGGGACCAAAGAAGUGAUAUGGUCCUGGGCCUAUCCCUAAUCCUUGAAGAGGCCUGGGCCCAAAGAAGAAGAAAUAUGGGCCUGGGCCUAUCCCUAAUCAUUGAAGAAGCCUGGGCCUCAAGAAGUGAUGUGUGCCCAUGCCUCGAAAUAUGGGCUUGGGCCAACACUGAUCAUGAAGAGGCCUGGGCCCAAAGAAGUAGUAAUAUGGGCAUGGGCCAAUCCCUAACCCUGAAAAGGCCUGGGCCCAAGAAGAAGAAAUACAGGCCUGGGCCAAAACCUGACCCUUGAAGAGGCCUGGGCCCAAAGAAGUAGUGAAGUGGGCCUGGGCCUAUCCCUAAUCCUUGAAGAGGCCUGGGCCCAAAGAAGAAGAAAUAUGGGCCUGGGCCUAACCCUAAUCAUUGAAGAGUCCUGGGCCCACAAAAGUGAUGUGUGCCCAUGCCUCGAAAUAUGGUCCUGGGUCAAUCGCCGACCAUGAAGAGGCCUGGGCCCAGAGAAGAAGAAAUAUGGGUCUGGGCCUAUCCCUGACCUUAAAGAGGCCUGGGCCCAAAUAAGAAGAGUUGUGGGGCUGGGACAAUCCCUAAUCUGAAGAGGCCUGGGCCCAAAGAAGAAAUAUGGACCUGGGCCAAUCCCUGGGCAAAAGAAGUGAUGUGGGCCUGGGAAUAAACUAAUCCUUGUCAAGGCCUAGGCCCAAAGAAGAAGAAAUAUGGGCCUAGGCCACUCCCUAAUCUGAAGAGGCCUGAGCCAAGAGAAGAAGAAAGAUGUGCCUGGGCCUAUCCCUGACCCUAAAGAGGACUGGGCCCAAAGAAAGAAGAGUUGUGGGCCUGAGCCAAUCCCUAACACUUGAAGUGACCUGGGCCAAAAAGAAGUGAUGUGGGACUGGACCUAUCCCUAACCCUUGAGAGACCCAGGCCUGUAGAAGAUGAAAAAUGGGCCAGGGCCUAUCCCUACCUGGGCCCAAAGAAGAAAUAAUAUGGGCCUGGGCAAAUCCCUGACCCUUGAAGAGGCCCGGGUCCGAAGAAAAAGAGAUGUGCGCCUGGGCCUAUCUCUAAUUCUUGAAGAAGUCUGGGCCUUAAGAAGAGGUAUGGGCUUGGGCAAAUCCCGGACCCUGAAAAGGCCUGGGCCCAAAGACGAAGAAAUAUGGGCCUAGGUCCAUACCUACCCUAAAGAGACCUGGGCCCAAGGAAACUAUGUGGGCCUGGGCCUAUCCCUAAUUUUUGAAGAGACCUGGGCCCAUAGAAGAAGAAAUGUGGGCCUAAGCCAAUCCCUACCCUGAAAAGGACUGGGCACAAAGAAGAAGAUGUGUGAGUCUGGGACAAUUCCUCACUCUCAAGAGACCUGGUACCAAAGAAGUGAUAUGGGCCUGGGCCAAUCCCUGACCCUGAAGAGGCCUGGGCCCAAAAAAGUGAUGUGGGCCUGGGCCUAUCUAUAACCCUUAAAGAGGCCUGGGCCCAACGAAUAAGAAAUAGAGGCCUGGGCCAAUCCCUGACCCUGGAGAGGACUGGGCCCAAAGAAGUGGGCCUGGGCCUAUCUAUAACCUUUGAAGAGAUCUAGAGUCAAAGAAGAAGAAAUAUGGGCCUAGGCCUAUCCUUAAUCAUUAAAGAGGCCUGGGCCCCAAGAAGUGAUGUGGGUCCAGGCCUCGAAAUAUGGGCCUGGGCCAAUCACUGAGAGUGAAGAUGCCUGGGCCCAAGAAGAAGAAAUAUAGACCUGGGCCAAUCCCUCACCCUUGAAGAGGCCUGGGCCCAAAGAAGUAGUGAAGUGAGCCUGGGCCUAUCCCUAGUCCUUGAUGAGGCCUGGGCUCAAAGAAGAAGAAAUAUGGGGCUGGGCCUAUCCCUACCCUGAAGAGGACUGGGCACAAAGAAGAAGAUCUGUGGGUCUGGGCCAGUCCCUCACCCUCAAGAGACCUGGAACCAAAGAAGGGAUAUGGUCCUGGGCCUAUCCCUAAUCCUUGAAGAGGUCUGGGCCCAAAGAAGAAGAAAUAUGGGCCUGGGCCUAUCCCUAGUCCUUGAAGAGGCCUGGGCCCAUAGGAGAAGAAAUAUGGGCCUGAGCCAAUCCCUACCCUGAUGAGGACUGGGCACAAAGAAGAAGAUAUGGGGGUCUUGGCCAAUCCCUAACCCUGGAGAGACCUGGGACCAAAGAAGUGAUAUGGGCCUGGGCCUAUCCCUACUCUUUGAAGAUGCCUGGGCCCAGAGAAGAAAUAUGGGUCUGGGCCAAUGCCUGACACUGAUGAGGCCUGGAACCAAAAAGAAAGAAAAGAAAAAAGAAAUAAAGAAAAGAAAAGGAAAAAAUGUGGGCCUGGGCCAACCCCUAACACUGGAAGAGGCGCAGGCCCAGAUAAAAAGAAAUAUGGUCCUGGGCACAGAAAAAGUGAUGUGGGUCUGGGCCUAUGCCUAACCUUUGAGGAGGCCUGGGCCCAAAGACGAAGAAAUAUUGGCCUGGGACAAUCCCUACCCUGAAGAGGCCUGUUCUCAGAGAAGAGGAAAUAUGGGCCUGGGGCCAUUUCUGACCCUGUAGAAACCCGGGCCCCUAGAAGUGAUGUGGGCCUGGGCUUAUCCCUAAUCAUUGUUGAGGCUUGGGCCCAAAGAGGAAAUAUGGACUUGUGCCAAUCAUUAACUUGAAGAGGCAUGGGUCCAUAGGAAGAAGGGCUGUGGGCCUGGACCAAUCCCUAACCCUUCAAGUGGCCUGGGCCCAAAGAAGUGAUAUGUACCCUGUCCUAUCCCUAAUCAUUGAAGAGGCCUGGGACCAAAGAAGAAUAAAUAUGGGCCUGGGCCAAUCCCUGACCUUGAAGGAAACAGGGCCCAAAAGCAGUGAUGUGGGCCUGGGCCAAUCCCUGACCUUGAAGGAAACAGGGCCCAAAAGCAGUGAUGUGGGCCUGGGCCUAUCCCUAACCCUUGAACAGGACUGGGCCAAAAGAAGAAGAAAUAUGGGCUCAGGCCAAUCCCUGAAGCUGAAGAGGCCUAGGCCCAAAGAAGGGAUGUCAGCCUAGGCCUAUCCCUAACCCUUGAAUGGUCCUGGGUCCAAAGAAGAAGAAAUAAGGGCCUGGGCCUAUCCCUGACCGUGAAGAGGCCAGGGCCAAAAGAAGAAGUGUUGUGGGCCUGAGCCUAUCCAUAAUCCUUGAUGAGGCCUGGGCCCAAAGAGGAAGAAAUAUGGGACUGGGCCUAUCCCUAAUCCUUAGAGUCCUGGGCCCAUAGAAGAAGAAAUAUGGGCCUGGGCCAAACCCUACCAUGAAGAGGCCUGGACCCAAAUAAGUGAUGUGGGCUGGGCCUAUCGCUAAUCCUUUAAGAAGCCUGGACAAACAAAGGAAGGAACAUGGGCCUGGGCCUAUCAAAAUCCUGAAGAGGUCUGUACCAGAGAAGACUAAAUAUGGGCCUGGGCCAAUCCCUGACCCUGAAGAGGCCUGGGUCCAGAGAAGAAGAAAUAUGGGUCUGGGCCUAUCCCUAGUCUUUGAAGAGACCUGUGCCCAGAAAAGAAGAAAUGGGGCUGGGCCAAAUCCUGACCCUGAAGAGGCCUGGGCCCAAAGGAAAAAAUUUUAUGGGCCUGGGCCAAUCCCUGACCCUUGAAGUGGCCUGAGCCCAAGAAGAAGAAAUAGAGGCCUGGGCCAAUCCCUGACCCUUGAAGAGGCCUGGGCCCAAAGAAGUAGUGAAGUGGGCCUGGGCCUAUCCCUAGUCCUUGAAGAGGCCUGGGCCCAUAGAAGAAGAAAUAUGGGCCUGGGCCUAUCCCUACCCUGAAGAGGACUGGGCACAAAGAAGAAGAUCUGUGGGUCUGGGCCAAUCCCUCACCCUCAAGAGACCUGGAACCAAAGAAGUGAUAUGGGCCUGGGCCUAUCCCUAAUCCUUGAAGAGGCCUGGGCCCCAAGAAGUGAUGUGUGCCCAGGCCUCGAAAUAUGGGCCUGGGCCAAUCACUGACCCUGAAGUUGCCUGGGCCCAGAGAAAAAAAAUUGGGCUUGGGCCAAUCCCUGACCCUGAAGAGGCCUGGGCCCAAGGAAGUGAUGUGGGCCUGGGCCUGUCCCUACUCUUUGAAGAGACCUUGGCCCAGAGAAGAAGAAAUAUAGACCUGGGCCAAUCCUUAAUCCUUGAAGAGGCCUGGGCCCAAAAAAGAAGAAAUACAGUCCUGGGCCAAUCCCUAACCCAUGAAGUGGCCAGGGCCCAGAGAAGAAGAAAUAUAGGCAUUGACCAAUCCCUGACCCUGAAGAGGUCUGGGCACAAAGAAGUAAAUUGGGCCUGGUUCUAUUCCUAAUCCUUGACGUGGCCUGGGCACAAAGAAAAAAAAUAUGGGCUUGGGCCAAUCCCUAUCCCUGGAGAGGCCUGGGUCCAAAGAAGUGAUGUGGGUCUGGGCAUAUCUAUAACCCUUAAAGAGGCCUGGGCCCAACGAAGAAGAAAUAUGGGCCUAGGCCAAUCCCUGAUGUGAAGAGGCCUGGGCCCCAAGAAGUGAUGUGGGCCUGGGCCUAUCCCUAACCUUUGAAGAGGUCUAGAACCAAAGAAGAAGAAAUAUGGGCCUGGACCAACCGUGCCCUGAAGAGGCCUGGCCCCAGAUUAGAAGAAAUAUGGGCCUGGGCCAAUCCCUGUCUCUGAAGAAGCCUGAGCCCAACGAAGAAGAAAUAUGGGCCUGGGCCGAUCCUUGUCCCUGAAGAAGCCUGAGCCCAACGAAGAAGAAAUAUGGGCCUGGGCCAAUCCAUGACCCUGAAAGGCCUGGGUCCAAAGGAAGAAGUUUUGGGCCUGGGCCAAUCCCUAACCAUUGAAGUGGCCUGGGCCCAAAGUAGAAUAUGGGCCUGCAUCAUUCCGUGACUCUUAAUAGGCCUGGGCCCAGAAGAAGUGAAGUGAGCCUAUCCCUAAUCCUUAAAGAGGCCUGGGUCCAAAGAGGAAGAAAUAUGAGACUGGGCCAGUUCCUGACCCUGAGGAUGUUUGGUCCCAAAACAAUUAGAUUUGUGGGCCUGGACUAAACCCUAACCCUGAAGAGGCAUGGCCCAAAAUUAGAAGAUAUAGGGCCUGGUACUAUCCUUACUCCUCAAGAGACUCAGGCCCAAAGUAGAAGAGAUGUGAACCUAGGCCUCUUUCUGACCUUCAAGAAGCCUGGGCCCAAAGCAAGAAGGGGCUAUUGAUGUAGGCUAGUUCUUCAAAUGAGGCCUGGGCCAAAAGAUUAUACCAGUCCAAACCCUUUCCCUGAAGACCAUCAGGCCAUAUAAAAAGAAAAUGUGUCAAGGCCAGACUUCGAACCUGAUGAAGUUUGGGCCCAAAUGUAAUAUUGAAAUUAUCUUGGAUUUACCCUUGCUCAAAGAAGCCUUGGCCCAAAAAAUAAUUGUGGCCAGGUCAAGCCUAAAAUUAAACAUUGUGUUUAGUAUACCA